UGCGUAGGCGGGUCUUUAAGUCAGGGGUGAAAUCCUGGAGCUCAACUCCAGAACUGCCUUUGAUACUGAGGAUCUUGAGUUCGGGAGAGGUGAGUGGAACUGCGAGUGUAGAGGUGAAAUUCGUAGAUAUUCGCAAGAACACCAGUGGCGAAGGCGGCUCGCUGGCCCGAUACUGACGCUGAGGCACGAAAGCUGGGGAGCAAACA
rnacentral:rRNA from 1 species